rnacentral:lncRNA from 1 species
UUUUCUGAUUUAAAAAAUUCUCUCUUUCUUAGGAUGAAAGAAACAUUCCUUUAAGGCUCAGAAGGGUGUACAGUUACCCAGAUAUCCAUGGCAAGGCCCCAGCGGUUACAGAGUUGUGUUUGAGCCCUUCAGGCCUAGCAAGCUCUUUCCUGGGAGCAAGUAAAGGAGACAUAGGCCAUGAUAAACAGCACUUAGCGGCCAAUUGCUUUAAGAAUACCUGUUUAGUGUUUCCAGGGACUCAAAGCUCCAGGGGGACAAGCAGGAAGGAGAGGCAGUGUCAAUUACUGUACAAUACAAUUAGCAAAUACCAGCACCUUGAGGAAUGUUUGGUAUACAGUAGGCAGUCAGGAAGCAAAUGCUAGAAUGAAUGUCAUUCAGAGCGUGUGACCCCUUUCUCCUAAAGCUUCCUACAGUAGAAGUCAGUCUCCUACUACUUCUACCUUCUCUGUCUCUUUGGAUGUUCAUUUUCGUCGGAUUUUACUCAUACCUGCUGAAGAAGGGCAAAGGGGAGUACCUUUCAACCUCAGACACAGACACAUGUAUUUGUCAACAGGCCACACAUAUUCUGGGCACAGGGACUGCAGACCAUAGCAACGUACCUCACCUUUUCUGAGACCCUCAUCCUUGUUCAGUAUUUGUAAGCCUUUUAAUUUAAAGAAAAAUAAAUUAAGCCAUGCUAGCUGAUUAAAGAAUAAUUUCAAGGAAUUUAACACUUAGUGAUUAUAUUAGCGAUGUACAAUAACUUCUCACUUUGGAUUCUUUUUGAUGUAUUAUGGAGGUAAAAAUCAAUAUUUUCUACCAAACUGGAGAAAUUUAGAUGAUCUAUUUUUGAGAUAUAGGUUCAGAGAAAAAUUGAUGAUAAAGACUGGAAUAACUCUAGUUCCCCCAAGUCAACAUCUGAUUGGCCCUUAGAAUCAGAAUUUAGGAAGAGAGAGGUUUGGGAGACCACGCAGUCCUGCUUCCUCACUUCGCAGAUACGGAAACCAGGCCUAGCUGGAAUUUCCCCAGAUCACACAGCCAGGAAACAGCAGGCUCAAAACUAGGGCCUUCUGAGUCCCCAGUGCAGCAUGCAUAUGUGUCUGCCUUGUUUCAUUAUGUAAUGGUACAGCGAGUUUGGAGGCAUACAAAAACAGACAGACACCAAUCUUGCCUUCAAGGCGUUUACAAUUUAGCAGGGGAGAUAACACAUGUAUAUAAAAAACUUACUAGACAAAGUAAACAGCAGUAUGCUCUAUAAGACAGGUAUGGAUUAAAAAGGAAUCUUUAAGUCAUUGAACCCUGAGAUUCUUUUUUUUUCAUUUUUUAAAACAAUAGUAAUCAAACUUGUGAAAUAGUGAACUUCCUCCAUUUUGCAAGAUUCCUCGAAACCAAGUACUUGGAAUAUAACUUAGUUAAGGAUUGCACAACACACACCAUUUGAGUAUCUGAUUUGGAAAACUAAGCCACAGAGCCAGACCACACAAUGCACACUGGUUGGAAUCUGCUGGGCAGGUAUCUCCCCGUCUGUCCAGGCAAGCCAAAUCAAAUAAGGCCCUGAGUUAAAAAGGAAGGAAAAGUAACAGAUAAAUCUGUUGACCACCACUCUAGGAGGCCAAGGCCUCUUUCCUCCCCAUUAGUGGUGGCUUGCUCUAAGAUAAAAAUACCACACUUAAGCUGUGAUAGAGGAAAGCCCGUGGUUUGGGACCCAACUACAAAGUAACAGCAAAAGAGAGAUUAUUACUCCCUAGUGACUCUCUUUUUGGUAUAAUUAGAAGAAUAGAAAGACCACUGAAGAGUGGGAUUUGUGAGAAAUAUGGGUCAUGUGUCUGCAGCACUAGUUGCUUGCAGAAUUGGCUAUGUGGGUUGGCACACAGCACCGUGAAUAUUAGAAACCACAAAUCUCCAGGGUUUCUUGAACAAAGUAAAAGGCCUUGUCUUCAGAUUGCCAGGUUGGAGGCUGGCUUGUGGAAGAAGCCCCUGGGUGAGCUCCAAAGCUACCUACGCAUUUCUGCCUUCUCCGUCUCUUUCUUCUCCUCCUCCUCUCCCUCUCCCCAUCCCUCUCCUCUUAUUUUGGAUAUUGCAUCUUGGUGGGUCUAACUGUAGCUUUGCUUAUGCCAAUACCCCCCUGCCCCACCCCCUGGGGAAGCAGGCCCUCUCCAUGACAACUGCCGACGCAGAAUCCACAGAGCUCUGGACAAUGGGACAAACCAUAUUUCUAUGAACAAAGCCAAGGAAUCUGAUGGACAAGAGAAUCCAGAAUCUCUGCAAUGGGCAGAAGAGAGGACCAGACUUCAUGGUUGAUCUCCCCACAGACCAUACCAACAGGGCAAAGCCCUUCUACUGUCAUUGGAGUAUAUUGACCCAUCCCUGACAGAAAGUCUGUGUAAGCCCGAGGAGGAGGAACAUGCCGCAAACCUGCUGCAGAGCAUUAACAAGAACAGAAUUAAAAAGGAUCACUUCUGGGACUCAUCACACAACUUGGAAAUCAUGUUCAAUAAAAGAAAAGAUAAUUUGGGGCCACACUACCUGAAAUGAACAUCUGACACUCAGUCACUGGUCUGGAUUUAGAAAACUGCUUUGAUCCCCGGAGGGAAGAUUGUUAAUGAGUAUUUUAAAGGACAAGAUUGGCGAAGCAUGAUAGAGUGGAAAAGGGUACUGAUUUUGAAGGGUCCCAGUCUUGCUUCCACUUCUGUAAGCAAGUAGAACUGACUUUGAACAAGACACAUUACACUGCCCUGAGAAAACGUCCUCAUCUCUAACAUGGGAGGUGAAGUUAACCCUCUAGUCCAUCCAACAAUCAAAUCUAGGCCUUAAUGACUAUGAAAACAUGGGAAAAAAUUUAAAACAAGAGCAGGUAAUGCUUGCACCUUUUCGCUACCUGAAAGGAAGGUCAGACAACCUUAGUAUAAAAGGUAACUUUUCUUACUUGCAUGCUAACAAUCAAUGCAUAAUUUACAUAGCAAUGCAUACACUUUAUAUAGUUCAAGAGAUCAUCGUUGACUGCCUGAACUUGAUAUGCUUCAUCCUUGUCAUGUCCUCCUCACUAAAUACUAACUACCCAAAGUGAUCAAACCCCAAAUGUAAAAAUAAUCAUCUGAUAAAUCACAGACAACAAGGAGGUGAAAAAAAGAACUCAGUCAAACAUUUUUGAGUUCAUAAAAAAAUUGAAUAGCAUAAUCUACCACUAUGUUCCCAUCCCCCUGCUAAAACAAUAUUUUAUCACUCUGGCUUUAUUUAUUCCCAGUCCUCCCCAACAUACUUAUUUUCUGGAGCAUUUUAAAGUAAAUCUUGGAUAUCUUGUCAUUUCAUCCACAACUACUUCAGUCUUCAUCUCAACUAAUAAGGAUUUUUUAAAAACCACUACCACGACAGUAUUAUGCCUGACAAUAUUAAAAAAUUAUUUACUAUCAUCUAAAGAACCAAUCAAUAUUCAAAUUUCAUCAAUCAUCUAAAAAUUUUUUUUUCUUUCAGUUUUUGGCUUGAAUUAGCAUCUAAACAAGCUAAGAGGUGAAACUGAUUUCACCCAAUUCACAAUCCUUUGUCUUUUAAAUAUUUCUUUUAGACGCUGACAUUACUUAGACACAAUGUAUCUGGAACACAGAUAAUGUGAAGGUCAGCUUCAUCGCAAUAUUAUUUGAAAUGUCUUAUUCUAUGAAUCAGAUAUAAAUGUAGUUAAAGGCUCAGAACUGGAAAAAUCUCAAGUAAUUCUCAGUUUUCCCAAAUGCAUAAAUGAUUUAGGCAACCUUAAUGGAAUGCUUUAAAGAUAUUUUGCUAAAUCUUACACCAUUCCUAGGAAGAAUACCUCUGACAGACUUUAGCAGCUUUUAUUUUGCCCAUAUAAAAGCUGGAUUUCUUAGACCGUGGAGCAGCCUAACAGCACAGAUAGUAUUUUCAGUUGUAGUUUCACCUGCACCUUAAAAAGAAAUCUACCUGCAUAUGCUGGCAACGAGGACAUCUUUGAAAACAGAGCUAAGAGCCUCAAACUGUCAACUCCGACUUUUGGGAAGAAGGGAGGUGAACAGUUUCUCCAUUCAGCUUCCAUGAGGCCUCUCUGGUAACACACAGGCACUGCUGUGACUCAUAACCAGAAAUACUGUUUUAUAACACCAGUCUGUGUUUUGUAACACACACUGAAAGAAAAAAAAAACUAUUUAGAAACCAAAACCAAGCCCUACAUCUGGGCAUUGGUAUCAAGAUCUCAAGAUGUCAGAGUGGCUAUUUAAUUCAGAUAAAGUAGGCAAGUCCUUAUCCCUUUCCUUGGCAAGAAAGUGGAGGCUUCCUGCCUGCUGCACAUGCCCACAGGAGGAGCAACCAUGAAUUUAAUUUUCUUAAAACAGAAGCAUUUUCAGACUUGUGUUUUCCUGGACAGCUGCCUAGUGGCUGUAAUCCAUAAUAAGGGCGUGUAAUUGACAGUAAUGUGAAUCACUCACUGAAAUUCUGGCAAAAAAAAAAAAUAGAGGAGUUAUUUUUUUUUUUUUUCAGGAAAAAAUUAAAGAGCAGAUUCAUCCUGUCCAUUGAAAAUAGCAAUUACUUUACAUUUCAGCUCAUUAGCUACCUUUAUAUAAAAAAAUCACUGUAAUUUGUACUAACUAUCAGCAAGUGUUGUAAAGAAGUGGUGCAGUUGCACAAGGCAUGCAAUCGGAUGUGCUGGGCCAGGCACAAUCUGUAAAAUGGCAAAUGUAGAUGAGUUACUUGAUAUAGCAUACAUGGGAUUCCUGGCCCAAGAGUGAGUUACAGGACACUGUCCUAACAGUGAUUUUGCCACUUAAAAAGCUGCUAUCUGCCUGGGACCUUGUAAUUAUUAUGGUAAUACCCAGGGCAGACUGAUCAAGCUGCCAUUGAUGUCUAUGGGCAGUUUCAGAAUUCCUUUCACUCAGACACAGGGAUCUCCAAAAGAAUGGUUGGGGAUUUUCCCAGGUAGAAGCUGUUGGAACCAUGGAAACUUUGAGACCAGGUAAAGGGUUUCUCCCAUCUAUUAAUUCUCUUUGAAUAAGGGGAAGAAUAAUCUCAAUUAACUUCACUAUCAACCUGAAAGGGCCCCCUCUUUUCCAAGGCAGAGGCACGGGAACUAAACACUGGAAAGCUACGGAAGAUUUAAUUCCAUUUAGAUAAACCCUGACUCCAUCAGAACCCGAGAGGUUCAGAUAUUUUUCUGAAACUUCAGCACCUGUGAAACUAGCAGCCCUUGUCCAGAACUACCUGGUAUCUCAAGCUUCUGGUCCCAGAGGGAACAGGGGUAUUUUGACUUGUGAAAAUCCCACGAAUGCAUGGAGAAAAACUUGGGACUUUAGAAUGCUGAGGUCUGUGUUAGGAAGAUGUAUAUUGAACCAAAGAGUGGAAACACUUAACCUCUUUUUCUCAGUCAACCACACUCUAUGAAGAAGGCUUGGAUUUAUUUUCUCCUAUUGGGAUCUCCCAUUCUUAGAAGAAAAAUGGAAGUCAGAUUUCAUUAAAAUAGAGGUAAUGUUGGGAUUUUGAUGAAUGAAACUAAAAUUCAUUUUGUGCUUUAUCAUUAAUUAUUUCUGAGAAGCUUUUUCUCAUAUGACAACAGUUGGGGGAUGGUAUUAUUAGCUUAUGAUGGUUCCCAUCUUUGAUAGCCACCACUAAUCUCCUACUUAAUUCUGGCUUAAUUUGCAAGUAGUUGCUAACAGGCAAAAUGAGGGUGGAGUCUCAUAAACCACUAAAAAGAGAGACUUGCUAUGCAUAUAAAUAGGCCCUGCAAAAAUAUUUCAGAUACUGUAUCUCAAUUAUUAGACAGUAGCAAACUGUCAAAAUCUAAAAAGUAACAUGGAAUAUGUAUAACUAGUUCUUUGCAGGCAUUCUUUUUGUUCCUAUAUGAAUACAUUUUAUGUGAGCCCAAAUGGUUGGAAAUGUAUUAUUCAUUUUUAUAAUUGAGAAAAAUGUGUUAACGCUCUGGAAUGUCCAUGUGUGGAAAAAUAAAACGUUAUAUGGAAUUGCACACACAUAUGAUUUAUAAUGCAUGCUUCCAGGACCAGAAAUCCUAACGAAGAACCUUAUUCAACAGAAAAAAACAUUUUUUUUUCUUCAGUAUGUGCAAUUCUGGUAUACUGUAAUGCUGAGGCCAAGCAUAUAUUUUAUUAGUUUAAAUCCUAGCUAAGCAAUAAAAUA